UGAACGCUGGCGGCGUGCCUAAUACAUGCAAGUCGAGCGAACAGAUGAGGAGCUUGCUCCUCUGACGUUAGCGGCGGACGGGUGAGUAACACGUGGAUAACCUACCUAUAAGACUGGGAUAACUUCGGGAAACCGGAGCUAAUACCGGAUAAUAUAUUGAACCGCAUGGUUCAAUAGUGAAAGACGGUUUUGCUGUCACUUAUAGAUGGAUCCGCGCCGCAUUAGCUAGUUGGUAAGGUAACGGCUUACCAAGGCAACGAUGCGUAGCCGACCUGAGAGGGUGAUCGGCCACACUGGAACUGAGACACGGUCCAGACUCCUACGGGAGGCAGCAGUAGGGAAUCUUCCGCAAUGGGCGAAAGCCUGACGGAGCAACGCCGCGUGAGUGAUGAAGGUCUUCGGAUCAUAAAACUCUGUUAUUAGGGAAGAACAAAUGUGUAAGUAACUAUGCACGUCUUGACGGUACCUAAUCAGAAAGCCACGGCUAACUACGUG
rnacentral:rRNA from 1 species